AGUUUGCGUGGCAGUGAUUUACGUGGUCUCGACGCCUCUCGUUCAUAGGUUACAUCUCCAAGCAUCGCCUCCCCUGGCAGCCAGUAUUGAUUCCCAGCAAGUCUUGUGACAGUCUGGGAUUACGGGAUGUCUGCAAAUCUUUAACUUCUACAGACGGUGGGUGCCAUGUGUGUACGUACUCCAGUAUUUUGUGUACGUGUGCGUGGCCGUGUGCGUGGUUCCGGUCGUCUGUGUGCACGUUACCACCUCUAUCGUUUAGUCGCCGCCCGUGUGUCCCUUCGAUGUGCUGCAGUGAUGUCGCCAUGCACACCUGAGCUUCCCAAACCUGCCCGAUCCCUGCCCGCCUUGCCACUGUGACUGUUCAUCUGACACUGACUCGAUUCAGCCCAGCCCAGCCAUCUCAGAGGUGCAUCGCGCUGGUCUCCGAAGCAAGUGAGUCGAAGCACCUUUCUGUCCACACUUCUCGUAGCAACGCAGGUGAAGGUCUGUACUGUGUUGCUGACGUGCUACGCUUGGUUCCCCACUGCAGAGGAGUCAAUAAAUGAAAAAGAACCAAAUUGAUGUACUACUUUAUCGGAAAAUAGUGUCCGGAUCGGUAAAGAUUCGAACUGCAGUCUGAGGCACCACGUCAUGGACAGAAUCAGCCAGUCGCACCCUGGUCUCGGAGCUGGGAUGACGUGCUCUGCUGCUGUUGCUGCUCCUGCUUUUGUUCCUGCUUCUGCAUCCCCCGCCACCUGCCACGUAUUGCAAGUUUUUUUCUUUACUUCUUUAUUUCCAAUCCUUGCUUUGGCUUGUUUUGAAUUCCUGAUUAGUUUUGUUAAUUCUGUUCACUUUAUUAUACAUUUUGUUAGCGGCGAGCAGGUUUUGAGAGCGAAUACCGGUGAUUGUCUCGCCUCCCACUUACCAGUUUUUUUUUUUUUUUUUUCCUCUUUUUUUCUUUUACGCCGCAGCAAUACCCUGAUGACACCGCAGCCUCCCACUCACUCACUCAUCUAACCAACCCACAGUUACCCAGCGCCCCCGCCGACACACCCACCACACCCACCUCCACCUCCCUCCACCCCUUCCCCCAUGGCACUUCACUCCCCUAUUCCCUUCCUCUCCUUACCACCACCACUACCAGCUGUCACCACCACUUUCCCUCCCCCAAUACCUAUUCCUCCACCCCCCAAGUCACCUCCCCUUCUUCCCCUCCACAUCUUCACCCCCUCCCACUACCUCCCUCCAGCUCUAGAACGCCACUUUGCUUCAACCACUCAUCCACCUCCUUCCACCUCAAUCCAUCCUAUCCAUCGCCGCCAUUACCCUCCACCACCAUCACCACCACCAUCCCCCAUCACUCCUAACUAUCAACCUCUACAAUGUUCUGGUUAAUAUUAAGAAGAACGCGCGGGUCCUAUUUCCUUUUUUUUUUUUUUUUUUUCGGCCCCUACCCUCUACAGUGUUGGGGACCUGGUGGGGAAAGUAGGGUUUUCGGCUGGGGAAAGCUGAAAUAGUCAAAUGCCGCCUCUCACCACCAAAAAUAAAUAGGGAUCUGCCCACUACUGUUGCUGUUCUUGUUGGUGGCCGCCAUGUUCUUGCUCUUGCUGCUAACCUAACUAAACCGGUAAAAAUGAAAUAGAGCCAUAGCAGCAGUAGUGCAGCUCCCUAUUUAUUUUUUUUUUAUGGUAAGAGGUGGUAUUUGGCUCUGUUUUAGCUCUCCCCAUCCAAAAACCCCGCUUUCCAACCAAGUCCCCAACAUUGUAGAGGGAAGGAACCGAAAAAUAGAAAAUAUGGCCGCGCGACUCCUGUUAAUAUUUACCAAUUGUCUUUACAGCUUCAUACGCAUUAUUUCCCCCUCAUGCCAUCAUCAGUAUUAUCAAAGGCUUCAUUUUCAGCACUACAUUGCACCACACGACCACCGCAACUUUUACCAGUUACUUACCCCACCCUCCCUCCCCUCCCCACGUCCGGUAACGAGUCGCAAGCAUGCUGAAUUUUAACAAGCAUUCCAGUGUCCAGUGGGAUGGGAUGCACUUCACCUCGAGUUCGUGUCACGCAUAUUAAGGAAACCAGAUUCUUCCGCCUGAGCGUCGCUGUCAAAAUGAGGUCGGUCGAGGUCAAAUUCGAGUCAACCUGAAAUUCGAGUCGGUCAGAAAUUCGGGUCAGUCUUAAAUUUGGGUCACUGGGCAACACAGUCUCCUCGCGGAAAAAAAAAAAAAAAGGUAAUCAUAUAGUACAGAGGAAGUAACUGAAACAGCAUCUUCGUAAGAGGAGAUAGUAGAUGUGUGCACAGAUGUUUCCUUAAAUGAAUCUGUAAUAUACAAAGUUAAUGGUUGACGUAAUUUAUUUCUCUGAUGCAAAGUUGUAGUUAAAGGCAGUGGAUUCUAUUUAAUAUAUUAUUGCAGUAUGUAGGAGGAUUGGAGAUGAAGUG